AACCAUCCUGUGUUUCUUCAACAGCCUGUAUUUUGUCGUUGGAGCUGGUAUUGUAAUCUUCUUAUUAUUGGUUGUUGGAAUCAUUGCUUGUUGCUGCAAAUCACUCUGUCUGUGCUGCCAACUCUGCUCUUCACCACCUCCAAGCAGCAGAACCAUGUUGGUCACUAAUGUCAUUCCUCCACAAGCUCUGAGGCAAAUCCCAUAUUCCUCAGUACCUACAGAAUACCAGCCAUUGCCAAGCCAAAACGCCCCAUUUGGACAGCCUGAUAAAGCCUAUCUCCCCCCACCUUAUCCAGGUGCAGAUAACCUGGCUUUUGCGGAAUAGCCAUAAACACUUCAUUUAUUGUCUCUGUUCCCUGCAUAGCUGACAGACACCACUGAAUCUUCAAAUCAAUAGAAAUAUAGAACCUCUAUUUUAUCUGAUUUGAUAUAUUCCCAAUGUACAUGGUUGCUGCACGGUGUCAGAUUAUUUCAGAGAAUGUACUAGUUACAUUCCUGAUCACUCUUUGAUAAAUCCAUGUUUUGGAAUGUUCAUAAAAAUGGGGGUGCAAAGUAAAUAUCUUCUUUAUCACAUUUUAACAUGGCAUGAAGUAUAGCUCUAAAAACGUUUCUGGUUUGCCUGCUGUUUAUUAGACGUAAUAUAGUAUUAGUAUAGUUAAAAGAAGAAAAAAAAGUUAACUUUCAGAUUUGGUUAAAUUAGUUUAGAUAUAAAACAGAAUCUACUGACGUGGAUGUCGCAAUUUUUGGAGCUGCUGAUUCUCCGUUAAUGGAAACACCUCUAUAUCACUCUGUUCUCUUCAUAUAGGGGGAGAUGGAUCAACCUUGGAGAGAGAGAAAGUAUCAACUAAUCAGCUUCUAACUGUCUUUUUUCAAACAUAGCCUGUAAAAUGGCAUUUGGAAGCUGAUUAGUUGGUACUUUAGCUCUCUCCAAGAUAUACCCUAGGCCUAUUCGAAAAACACGCCUAGCUGCUAGACUAGAACAGAGUAACACAUGACUGUUACAGUUAUCAGAUAAUUUUUCUUAUUUUAUUUUUCUUUAUCUCCACUUAUUCAACUGUACGUAAAAUGUUGUUAGGGUAAAGUGUUGGUGUGUACUGUAUAUAGCAGAAAAUAUGCAAUUUGUAUAGUGUUAGGUGUGUGUUUCUGGCACUUUUUAUUCUGUUACGUGUAUGUUUCUGGCACUUUCUACUUUGUUAUAUGGAUAUUGGAAGUCACCAAGGAAUUAUGUGGCAAAAUGUAAAAGCACAAGACUGAGUUGACUUCCAGUAUCCAUAAUGAGUUACAGUAGACGGUGCAUUAUGUAAUAUAUGCAUACAUAUAAUACACACACAGAAACAUAUUUUGUUAUUCCAAAUAAAUAAAUUUUUUGCUAUCUGA